rnacentral:rRNA from 1 species
UACGUAGGGUGCGAGCGUUAAUCGGAAUUACUGGGCGUAAAGCGUGCGCAGGCGGUUUUGUAAGACAGAUGUGAAAUCCCCGGGCUCAACCUGGGAACUGCGUUUGUGACUGCAAGACUCGAGUGCGGCAGAGGGGGGUGGAAUUCCACGUGUAGCAGUGAAAUGCGUAGAGAUGUGGAGGAACACCGAUGGCGAAGGCAGGCCCCUUCGGGUC